CCUACGGGGGGCAGCAGUGGGGAAUAUUGGGCAAUGGGCGCAAGCCUUACCCAGCAAUACCGCGUGAGUGAAGAAGGUCUUCGGAUUGUAAAGCUCUUUGAUCAGGGACGAACAGAUGACGGUACCUGAAGAACAAGCCCCGGCUAACUACGUGCCAGCAGCCGCGGUAAAACGUAGGGGGCGGGCGUUGUCCGGAAUGACUGGGCGUAAAGGGUGCGUAGGCGGGAUAGUAAGGUAGGAGUGAAAUUCCCAGGGCUUAACUCGGGUGCUGCGUCAAAGACUGUUGUGCUUGAGUGCGGGGGAGGUUAAUGGAAUUCCUGGUGUAGCGGUGGAAUGCGUAGAUAUCAGGAGGAACACCAGAGGCGAAGGCGAUUAACUGGACCGUAACUGACGCUGAGGCACGAAAGUGUGGGUAGCAAACAGGAUUAGAUACCCUUGUAGUC
rnacentral:rRNA from 1 species